rnacentral:rRNA from 1 species
AGAGUUUGAUCAUGGCUCAGGAUGAACGCUGGCGGCGUGCCUAACACAUGCAAGUCGAACGAAGCGCCUGAUCAGAUUUCUUCGGAAUGAAGAUUUAGCGACUGAGUGGCGGACGGGUGAGUAACGCGUGGGCAACCUGCCUCAUACAGGGGGAUAACAGCCGGAAACGGCUGCUAAUACCGCAUAAGCGCACAGGACCGCAUGGUCCGGUGUGAAAAACUCCGGUGGUAUGAGAUGGGCCCGCGUCUGAUUAGCCAGUUGGCGGGGCAGCGGCCCACCAAAGCGACGAUCAGUAGCCGACCUGAGAGGGUGACCGGCCACAUUGGGACUGAGACACGGCCCAAACUCCUACGGGAGGCAGCAGUGGGGAAUAUUGCACAAUGGGGGAAACCCUGAUGCAGCGACGCCGCGUGAGCGAAGAAGUAUUUCGGUAUGUAAAGCUCUAUCAGCAGGGAAGAAGAAAGUGACGGUACCUGACUAAGAAGCACCGGCUAAAUACGUGCCAGCAGCCGCGGUAAUACGUAUGGUGCAAGCGUUAUCCGGAUUUACUGGGUGUAAAGGGAGCGCAGGCGGUACGGCAAGUCUGAUGUGAAAGCCCGGGGCUCAACCCCGGUACUGCAUUGGAAACUGUUGGACUAGAGUGUCGGGGGGGUAAGCGGAAUUCCUAGUGUAGCGGUGAAAUGCGUAGAUAUUAGGAGGAACACCAGUGGCGAAGGCGGCUUACUGGACGACAACUGACGCUGAGGCUCGAAAGCGUGGGGAGCAAACAGGAUUAGAUACCCUGGUAGUCCACGCCGUAA